rnacentral:rRNA from 1 species
AUGGAGGGAGACAAUGUGGCUUGGAGACUUACGUGCUUUUAUGGAGAGCCUAAUUGGGAUUUGAAACAUUUGUCCUGGACACACCUGAGAAAUCUUCAUAACAAUGCAACAGGCCCUUGGUUGAUUAUAGGAGAUUUUAAUGAAAUUUUGGUGGCAAGUGAAAAGGAAGGCGGAAAUAUUAGACCCCAACAGUACAUGCAAAAUUUUAGGGACUGUGUAGAUGACUGUGGGCUGCAAGAGGUCAUGGCAAUCGGUGAUCCCUUCACGUGGAGCCGAGGAGUCAUCCGAGAGCGGCUGGAUCGAGCGCUCUGUAAUGAGAAGUGGGCCGAGAAAUUUCCAUAUGCAGCAGUAGUUCAUGAACAUCAUGUACAUUCUGAUCAUAGACCGCUCCUUUUGGAUACAAAUUAUUUUGCAGCCGCUAUGGGGCGCAAGCCAACAGGAGAAAGGAGGUUUGAAGCAAGAUGGUUAAGUCAAUCUACGGUGGAUGAGAUUGUUCGUACUGCUUGGGAAAGAGCUAAGUUAGCUGGUGCCGGGCCAUCAUUAGCAGAUAGAACAAAAUCAGUCAAGGAUGAUUUGCACAAGUGGGAUAGAGACACACUUAAGGGGCCAAAGAAAAGAAUAAAUAAAUAG